ensembl:snRNA U1 U1 spliceosomal RNA
AUACUUACCUGGCAGGGGAGAUACCACGAUCACGAAGGUGGCUUUCCCAGGGCAAAGCUUAUCCAUUACACUCUGGGUGUGCUGACCCCUGCAAUUUCCCCAAAUGUGGGAAACUCAGCUGCAUAAUUUGUGGUAGUGGGGCCUGCGUUGGUGCUCUCCAUGC